rnacentral:lncRNA from 1 species
AUGACUAUAUCUAACCUGACUGCUGGUGUCCAGUAUGGCAUAAAUGUCACAGCUGUGGCAGCAGAUAACCAAACUAAAGGAAAGAGUGUGUUUACCUCCAAUUAUACAAAACCAAAUGAAGUCAGAGACCUCACAGUUACUGAAAUCACCACUUCAUCUAUAUCUUUGAAAUGGACCAGUCCAUUAGGAAACAGUUCAUUGUAUGAAGUACAAUGGUCACAUGAAUCAUCUACUCUAAAAGCCAUUGUGACUGACAAAAACAUGACUAUAUCUAACCUGACUGCUGGUGUCCAGUAUGGCAUAAAUGUCACAGCUGUGGCAGCAGAUAACCAAACUAAAGGAAAGAGUGUGUUUACCUCCAAUUAUACAAGUAAGUACACACGGAAAACAUUCAAGACUUGCUGAGAGAUGUGUUCAACAAUAUACUUUGAAUUAGUCCAAUAUCUAUAUUGACGUUCUUGAGGGGGGGAAAGCUAAAGGAAAAAGGAAGACCAGAGAGUAGGAGUGGUCUUAAUAUGGAAAAGAUUAGACAGAUAGGAAGGAGCCAUGCUAUGAAAGGCUUUGAACAUGUAGAGAAGAAGUUUGAAUUGAAUCCAAAAAAAAAAAACGGGAGCCAGCGCAGCUGUUGUGGAACAGGAGUGAUGUGAUGGAUGGAGGGAGUUCUGGUGAUGAUGCAAGCAGCUGAAUUCUGGACCAAUCAAAGUUUAUUUAGCGUCUUAUUGGGAAGACUAGUCAGGAGAGCAUUGCAGUAGUCAAGGUGAGAAGUGACCAGACUACAUCACAAUGGAAGCUGAGUGGACAGUGAUUGAGGGGAAGGGGAGGAGACGAUUAAAAUUACAUAGAUGAAAGUAGGCAGACAGAGUAAUGCUACUGAUGUGAGAUUGAAAGGAUAGUGAACUGCCAAGGAUGACAUCCAGGCCCUUGACCUUAGGUGAAGGAGAAACUGAAGAGGAGUAGAUGGAAGAUGUGAAAUUGGAAACUUUGGAAAGGGUGAAUAUGGAACCAAAAAGGAGAAACUUGGUUUUGUGACUGUUAAGUUUGAGGAAAUUUAAAGAAAACCAUGUUUUUAUGCUAGACAGGCAGGAGGAGAGUGAGGAUGGUGGAAGAGAAUAGUUGGGUUUAUUGGCCAGAUAGAGCUGGGUCUCAUCGGCGAAACAAUGAGAACCAAUGUUAAAUUUGCAUAUUAUAUUGCAGAAGGGUAGGAGGUUGUUAAUGAAGAAACGGGGACAAAGAACAGAACCUUGAGGAAAACUUGAGGAGUUGGAGGAGGAUUGGGAUUUAAAUGAUUUCAAUAGGAUAAACUGGUAUUGGCUUGAG